rnacentral:rRNA from 1 species
UACGUAGGGUGCAAGCGUUGUCCGGAAUUAUUGGGCGUAAAGAGCUCGUAGGCGGUUUGUCGCGUCGGCUGUGAAAACUCGGGGCUCAACCCCGAGCCUGCAGUCGAUACGGCAGACUAGAGUGCUGUAGGGGAGACUGGAAUUCCUGGUGUAGCGGUGAAAUGCGCAGAUAUCAGGAGGAACACCGGUGGCGAAGGCGGGUCUCUGGGCAGUAACUGACGCUGAGGAGCGAAAGCGUGGGGAGCGAACAGG